rnacentral:lncRNA from 1 species
GACCAUUUCCGGAGACCUUCUCCCCUACCUCACCUCGCUCAUCAACGCAUCCUUGACCGCUGGCUACGUCCCUUCCGUCUUCAAGAGAGCGAGAGUUGCACCCCUUCUGAAAAAACCUACACUCGAUCCCUCCGAUGUCAACAACUACAGGUGGCGAAUCGCAUCUCUGCAUGUCUGGCAGACAUAUCAGUGUGGAUGACGGAUCCCCACCUCAAGCUGAACCUCGGCAAGACGGAGCUGCUCUUCCUAACGGGGAAGGACUGCCCGUUCCAUGAUCUCGCCAUCACGGUUGACAACUCCCUUGUGUCCUCCUCCCAGAGUGCUAAGAGCCUUGGCGUGACCCUGGACAACACCCUGUCGUUCUCCACCAACAUCAAGGCGGUGACCCGAUCCUGUAGGUUCAUGCUCUACAACAUUCGCAGAGUACGACCCUGCCUCACACAGGAAGCGGCGCAGGUCCUAAUCCAGGCACUUGUCAUCUCCC